AUAACUGUUAACAGGUUUAAUUUUUUAAAGAUAUUUUUUACUGAUAUUAAGAAAAAAUAAUAUAAUUUAUACACACAAAAUUAUUGCAAUUAAAUAUUGCACAGGGAUCAUCGACGUCACACGCUAGCAAUAAAUAUAAAUAUUAUAUACUAGUAUUAUAUAUAAUGUUGUAUAUUUAUAGUAAAAAUUGUAUAAUUUCAUGGUUGGAGAUUAUAAAGGUUUAAAAUUUUAUAAACUUCAAGCCUAAUUUUAGUUUUUCAAAAGUUCAUAAUUUUACUAUCUUUACAAUUCAGUAACUUCAUAAUCUAUGAAAUAAUUAUGUGUGAUAAGAUAAAAAUUUAAUUGGAAUGUUGUACAUUUUAUAAAAGUUGUUUAUGAAAUUUAUUUACAACCAAGUAAUUUUUCUGAAACAGUGUAUAAUUUUUUUAUAUUUUUGCAAAUAAUGUUAUCAUCCAAUAUUCUUCAUUUUCAUUCAUUCACAAAAAUGUGCCUUAACCAACACUUUUCAGUUUUCCCAUGGUCUAGAUUGGCAGCGUGGAAACGCUUCGAUCCUCUAUCCAGAGGACCGGAUUCGAAUCCGAUUCCAUCUCUUAAAAAUUUUAUUCGGGAUACAUUUGAAAUUGAUAGAGUUAAAGUGUUGGAUUAUUGAAAUUUUUUCAAAAAUAAACAUACAAACAAACAUUCACAAAUAUCAAAUUAAAUAGACUUCCAGAAUUUAAUUUUAAAUUAAAUAAAAUAUGACGGCUCGGUCGAGACCCUGUCCUCUACAGUCCGAUCAAUGGCUGCGUGAUAAAGCGCUGCCACCUCAAUGAUUCAGGUUCAGUUCUCUAGGUUUAAUACUUCAAAAAUGUUUUCACGAGGACUUCGAUCCGGUUUGUUGAACUUACCAUCCUUCAUCUGACGACUGACCGUAUCAUAGCUGUAGGUGAUCCAUGAUGGACACUGGAAUGCCCACUGCUUAGUAAUCUAUUGUUGAAAAACGGCGUAUAACAAAGAAAAGAAAUGCCUUUUCAUAAGUCAGGCUGCUUAUGGCAGAACCCCUCUACUUAGUAACUAAUAGAUUGGAAAGUGAUAUAUGGACAGAAAAGUUUUCCCAUGGUGACAUCCCAAGGACAUCUGAAAUUCUGUGCAACUCUUUAUUCCAAAAAUUAAUUUGUUUAUAUUAUUACAUAUCUUUUAAAAGUGGAAUGAAAAAAAUAGAUAUAUAUUUAUAAACAAUUUUUUAAUAAAAAAUUUCUGAAGUUUAAUAACUCGCAUAAUUUAGUGAGACAAAUUUUUAAUGUAUUUGGACGAAUAUGAGAUAAAUUCGCUUUCAUUUCUUCACUUAACAUUUUCAAAUUCUCAUGUUUCACAGUUUUUAUAUUAAGCAUGACAGAAAAGCCAGCUUGUCAAGAAUAGCGUUAUCACUCAGAGUUAUCACAAUGAAAAUAAAAAUUACUCUAAAGUAAUUUUUAUUUUCAUUGUCACGGACAAUAAUCAUCAAUAGCCAUUGAUGGAUUAUUGUCCGUGUCCUAUCUCUUCAUCCGUACAUUAUCUCUACUUUUUAAUCAGUAAAAAGUUCGUGAUAUUCAUAUGCUGUUAUGCAUUACCCAGUUUGUGAAGCAUUUACAAUCGUAGUUUUUAUUUAAAAUUUCUAUUUAUAUAUUUAUAAUUUUAGGAACUAUUAG
rnacentral:lncRNA from 1 species